rnacentral:rRNA from 1 species
UACGUAGGGCGCAAGCGUUAUCCGGAAUUAUUGGGCGUAAAGAGCUCGUAGGCGGUUUGUCGCGUCUGCCGUGAAAGUCCGGGGCUCAACUCCGGAUCUGCGGUGGGUACGGGCAGACUAGAGUGAUGUAGGGGAGACUGGAAUUCCUGGUGUAGCGGUGAAAUGCGCAGAUAUCAGGAGGAACACCGAUGGCGAAGGCAGGUCUCUGGGCCGGUACCGACGCUGAGACGCGAAAGCGUGGGGAGCAAACAGG